AUUGAACGCUGGCGGCAUGCCUUACACGUGCAAGUCGAACGGUAACGGGCCUUCGGGUGCCGACGAGUGGCGAACGGGUGAGUAAUGUAUCGGAACGUACCUUUCAGUGGGGGAUAACGUAGCGAAAGUUACGCUAAUACCGCAUAUUCUGUGCGCAGGAAAGCAGGGGAUCGCAAGACCUUGCGCUGAUUGAGCGGCCGAUAUCAGAUUAGCUAGUUGGUGAGGUAAAGGCUCACCAAGGCGACGAGCUGUAGCGGGUAUGAGAGGAUGAUCCGCCACACUGGAACUGAGACACGGUCCAGACUCCUACGGGAGGCAGCAGUGGGGAAUUUUGGACAAUGGGGGCAACCCUGAUCCAGCCAUACCGCGUGAGUGAAGAAGGCCUUCGGGUUGUAAAGCUCUUUCGGCCGGGAAGAAAUCGUAUCAGCUAAUACCUGGUGCGGAUGACGGUACCGGCAUAAGAAGCACCGGCUAACUACGUGCCAGCAGCCGCAGUAAAAC
rnacentral:rRNA from 1 species